rnacentral:rRNA from 1 species
GACGAACGCUGGCGGCGUGCUUAACACAUGCAAGUCGAACGGAAAGGCCCUGCUUUUGUGGGGUGCUCGAGUGGCGAACGGGUGAGUAACACGUGAGUAUCCUGCCCUUGUCUUUGGGAUAACUUCAGGUAACUGGGGCUAAUCCCGGAUCGGAGCUCCUGCUGCAUGGUGGGGGUUGGAUAUUUUCGGCGGUUGGGGAUGGACUCGCGGCUUAUCAGCUUGUUGGUGGGGUAGUGGCUUACCAAGGCUUUGGCGGGUAGCCGGCCUGAGAGGGUGACCGGCCACAUUGGGACUGAGAGACGGCCCAGACUGCUACGGGAGGCAGCAGUGGGGAAUAUUGCACAAUGGGAGGAAGCCGGAUGCAGCAACGCCGCGGGCGGGAAGACGGCCUUCGGGGUGUAAACCGCUUUCGCCUGUGACGAAGCGUGAGUGACGGUAAUGGGUAAAGAAGCACCGGCUAACUACGUG